GCCCCUCCCCCCCGCAGUCCCCCCCCCAGCCAGGCUCUGCGGCUCACCCGCCCCCGGCUCAGCAGCCUCUCCUCUUCAGGCAGGCCUGACCAUCCACCUCGUGCCUUGCAGGGCCAUCAGCCUCUCCUCUGUGAAGGGAGCGCCGGGGCGGGGGCCUGCAGGCUGGCCUCCCGUCCACCUCCCGGGGAAGCGUCCCAGCCAGACUUCUGUGUCUAGAACACAGCACAUGCGGCCCGGGCGCUCCCCACAGCUGCCAGCUCCUCCCCGACCCGGAGGCUCCCAGGCUCCAGCCCAGCGAAGCACCUGCUCCCUGUGCGGGGCGGGGCCCCCUGACCACGAGGCCCCUCUAAGAGCCUCUGCGGGAGCCCAGGGGCUUCCUGUGACAGUGGGCGUGUCACCGUUCCCCAGCUGACAACCGGGUGCCUGUGGAGCCUGGAGGCCCAGCACCCCCACCUAAGCUCGCUCCGCCAGGGCCAGACAGAGCCGCACACCACACGCUCAGUGAGCUUCGGCUCCAGCAGCCAUCCCCGGCCCCCCCCCCCGCCGCCCCCCCCCCCCCGACCCGGAGGCUCCCAGGCUCCAGCCCAGCGAAGCACCUGCUCCCUGUGCGGGGCGGGGCCCCCUGACCACGAGGCCCCUCUAAGAGCCUCUGCGGGAGCCCAGGGGCUUCCUGUGACAGUGGGCGUGUCACCGUUCCCCAGCUGACAACCGGGUGCCUGUGGAGCCUGGAGGCCCAGCACCCCCACCUAAGCUCGCUCCGCCAGGGCCAGACAGAGCCGCACACCACACGCUCAGUGAGCUUCGGCUCCAGCAGCCAUCUCUGUGUUUCACCAGCCAGCCUUCCACUCCAGCCCGCCAGGCGCCCGGCCGAGGGGCACAGCGAGGGCCUCGACAUCCCCCGGUGAGCAGCGAUGCCCUCUGGGCUGGAUGCCACGAGGCCUGCCCACCGGGGUGGGGGCUGAGCCCCCGGGGGCAGGCUGCUACGGCUCUGCCACUGUGAGGUGCGGGCGGCUGACGCUGGCCUGGAGGAACGGAAGCCUCUGUGGGCCCCUUCUGGACAGCCCCCGCGCAGCCAUGCCCAAGGCCAGGGCAAGGGCUCUGGGCCUUCCAGCAGCAAGGCCGGCCCAGGAGUUCCGAGUGUUGCCAACGGAGGGCCUCUGCCGGCCACGCCGCCAAGGACAGGGACCCAGGUGCAGCUUGGGAGGGAGGCGGCCGGACAGCUGCGUGUGCGCCUGGCGAGAGGUGCCGCCACCCUGUGGGGCCAGGCAGACUGUGGGCUCCUCGGUGCACGUCUGUGGGGUCCCCGGGCCCAGGCAAGCGGGGAGGGCCUGGCUGAGCGUCAGCUGGACGCCAAGUGCUUCUCUCAGGCGUGGCAAAGAGGCGAGGGGCGCAGGCUCCCGGCCCGGGCAGAGCAGUGUCCAGACCCCGCUGGGCCUCCGCGGGCGUGGCUCAGUUUCUCUCCAUAGGACGCGGCAGAGCCACGAGCAAGGGUUCCUGGGCCACGAGACCCAGCUCUGCCGAGAAACAGACACACUCCUCACGCUGCUCAGAUCAGGAUCCCGACAGCGAGGGGUCAGGCCGGCUUCUCCUGGAGGGCGUCUUCCGUCGGGACAGCCUCCGGGCGCUGGCCCGCUCCGGGGGCCGGGUGGCCUCCCCCUGGGGGUCCAUGUCCUCCCCGGGCGGGGGGCCGUGCUCCCGGGGCGGGGGGCCAUCCUCCCCGGGCGGGCCGCCUGCGUCCAGGCCCCGCAGCACGCUGUAGUUGAUCUUGCUGGAGAUCUUCUUCUGCUCCAGCAUCUUCUCAAUGGCCUCCCCGGCCGUGCUGGCCUGGAUCGGCUCCCCGCGC
rnacentral:lncRNA from 1 species